UACGUAGGGGGCAAGCGUUGUCCGGAUUUAUUGGGCGUAAAGAGCGUGUAGGCGGCCAAGCAGGUCCGCUGUGAAAACUCGAGGCUCAACCUCGAGACGUCGGUGGAAACCGUUUGGCUAGAGUCCGGAAGAGGAGAGUGGAAUUCCCGGUGUAGCGGUGAAAUGCGCAGAUAUCGGAAGGAACAUCAGUGGCGAAAGCGGCUUCCUGGUCCAGCACCGACGUUCAGGCACGAAAGCGUGGGGAGCAAACAGG
rnacentral:rRNA from 1 species